rnacentral:lncRNA from 1 species
CUCGAACCUGAAUUUAUCUUAUAUUAUAUAUACUAUGUAUAUAAAAAUUUGAUGUUAUAUUUAAAUUUGUAUUUUAAAACUUUAAAUUUAAUAUUAUAUAUUUUAAAAUAUUGAAAAGAGAAAUAAUUAUUUCGGGUUUAGAAUUUCAGGUUCGGAUUCGGAUUCAGGUUCAGGUUCGGGUUUCGAAUUUUUGGUCGGGUUAAGAUUUGAAUAUGAAUUUUUAAAAUCCGUCGGGUUCGAAUUCGGGUUCAGGUUCAGGUUUCUAGUUUGGAGUCGGGUUCGGGUUCGGGUUUGGGGUUUGGAAAAUCCGCCCGAAUCCGACUGGUUGACAUCCCUAGUAACAUUACAAUUCAUUUUUAUGUUCAACUCACUUAUUUUACUUGAUUGGGUAUCAUAUUAAUAAGAAGGGAUAGUUAUAUAUGGUUUUCUAUAAAAAUAUCAAAUAACAAAAUAUUUUUAUAAAAUUUAAGUUAUCAUAUUUAUCUCUCCAAAAGUCCAUUCGUCUGCAAAUAUAUUCUUUCCUUAUCAAAAUUUAGAUAACAUGAGUUAAAAAAAACUAACCACAACUAGCUAAGAAAUAAAAUAACAUUUUAACCUCUUAUAUAUAUAUGUAUAGAGAGAGAGAGAGAGAGAGAGAGAGAGAGAGUAGGUCUUGUGUGCUAUUAGGAGCACGGAGACGGAGGUCUCCGUGCUCCUAAGCCAUUUUCGAUCAUGGAGCUUUCGAAUCGACGAUCGGCUCCAUUAGACUUGAUCUAGCGUAUUUGAAGUACCUAAAAAAUAAAUUUUGCGAUUUUUCGAUAUCAUUUACCUAGCGAUCAAAAGGGUUCAAAAUCAACGGCCGAAAAUAAAAAUCUCAAAAAAAGUGGUUAUAUAGCACUAAAAUUUUCUAUCAGAGAUAUUGAUCUUACUGUAAAUAAUAUAAAAAAUUUUCUAUCAAAAUUUUAUCUGAUUUGAAUACUUCUACACCGUUAAACUUGCAAAUGGUAUACAUUAACCAUUAAAAAUUGUUGAUUUUGAACCCUUUUGAUCUCUAGGUAAAUAAUAUCAAAAAAUCACAAAAUUUAUUUUUUAGAUAUUUCAAAUAUGCUAGAUCAAAUCUAACAGAGCUGAUCAUCGAUUUGAAAACUCCAUCAUCAAAAACGGCUUAGGAGCACGGAGGUCUCCAUACUCCUAAUAGCACACAAGACCUACUAUAUAUAUAUAUUUGUAUUCUAAUAUUGAGUACUGUCAUCUUUCUCACCUUUCUUUUUUAUCUAUAGCAACAGUGAGACCUACGGCACUCGAUAGCAAUACGGCAAAGACGAGGAGAGAGAAAAAGAGACAGCUUUUUGUAAGGGCAAAUUUAUAGAGACAAUAGUCAUUAUAUAUACCCAAUGUUUCAAUUAGGUAAUGAACUUAGCUACACAGUGAGGCAACCAGGCCUCUAGGAAGAAAUAAAAAGAAGAUACGAAGAGGAACUCAAAAAUGGAAAAGAAAAAGGUGAAAAGGGGAAAGAGU